UUACAACGGCCGCCGGUGCAUUAGUACAUUUUUACAGAAAAAAGACAUAGGGACUAGGGGGUUGUAAAAUGUAUACAUAAAUAACUUGUUUUGGCUGUUAAACGUGUCUUUAGGCACGUAAAAAGUAAGUAAAUCACUCUAGAAAUCUGAAGAAUGCUUACUCAGCAAAACCAUCAGUUUGAGUUUGGAGAAGAAAUUUCAAAGAAGGCGUCUUGUGAGAACGUGAAGACAUAAACCACUGCAGUGAGGCUUGACAUGAUUAUUCCUCAUUCAUUGCCUGGUAAUACAGUGGAGGAACUUUGUAAGACUGUCUGCCAGCCUGCCACCCUUCCCAGCCCUCACCCAAAUACAUCACAAGAUCAAGGUGAUCAGUUGCAGCAUUUGCAUAGUAUGAGGGAGUAAUGCAACCAAGUGAUCAAUGUAUUGAAAAAGACUAGACGAGAGUGCCUUGCGAAUCCCACUGAUGUGCUUUUUGCGCCUGACCAGCCAGCCUGCCACUCUGCCCAGCCCUCACACAAAACAAUCACAAGAUCAAGAAUGAGCUCCUGCUGUUGACGGACCUCCACCAGGCUGUGCAGUGACUGCUGACCAAUAAGGGUUAAAAGGACGGGUAGAGAAGUGGAGGUGGACAUGGAGCCCUUUGUGUUCGACUUCGAAAUACAAGAGGACAUGGAGGACUUCUCGAAGGAGUGCCAGGACACGCAAAACCUAGCCGUACUGGCAACGUGUGCCCACCCUAACAGUCACACAUUCCCUAAAGUUUUGGUAUCAAGGUCUGUGUCUGGCAGUGCAAUGAACUUGUGUACACCUAGUGGUGUUGCGGUAAGCAACCACUUGGCCAACUGAAACAAAGAUGGGAGGCGAAUUAAUUGUUAUUAUCAAAAUAUUGUCAGCAUUUCAGUGCAACAGUGUUUAGAUAAGUACCUAAUAAGCUAGUUGAGCCUGUGGAUUUGUAUUCGAUUUAUAAUGGCUAACACUCAUACACAAACAAACACACACACGCACACACACACUCCCAACAUUUCCUUUGACUCUCCCACACACUCCAACACAACUCCAGUUGAGAAAAUGUUCUUUUAUAAUCUCACCAUUACGGUCUUCCUGGAUGAUAUCAGAAUAGCAGCCACUCUUGGAAAUGUGUAGUAAAUGUUUUAUUUAUGUACACGUUUAUACUUCAAUUAUUUUCAUUUAGUAUUGUGUUUGGAUGGCAUUUUUAUCUUAACAAAUAAGAUGCUUCAGAGGCUGAGAGUGCACAUAGUUAAAUGUCUGCACAUAUGUAAUUAUUCAUAUUUUAAUUAAAAGUUUAUUUUUGUGUUGAUUUUGUUUGAUUGUCCUGGUCCGUCUUCGGUGGAUUUGAAGCUGUGUUUGUCUAAUAAACAAAUUUGAUUAAAUUGAACCAAUUGAAAACAUAGGCUACUUUGGCCUUCCCUUGUCUUUUCCAUUUGGCUAAGUCUUUAAACAGUAAUAUCUGCUAGAAGUAGGCCUAUCGGGAGUUGUGGAUGUUUGGGUGGCCUUUUUAUCAUGACAAGUUUAAAUCAAAGAAAGAUGCAUUUUAUGUUUAUAUUUGGGUUAUCUUUGUUUAACAUACAGCCUAUGUGAUUAAUCAAAGGUAAGUGCAACAAUAAUACUCAUUAAUUAAGGUUCUUUGCCGUGAAUUUUAAUGACUGUACAUUGUAGGACUUGUGUACACUAAACUUGUCAUGAUUUAAAAAAAGUAAAAUAUUAAUGUUUAAGUAGGCCUAUUUUGCUGAUUAGUGGAUUUUAACAGACUCUUAAAAUUCUGCAAUACAAUACCCGUCAGUUAAAAGCAUCAAUAAAUGUCCCAUGGUAGUUUUAACGAUUCUUAGUCGAGAUGGCCGACAGGGGUAUGUUUUUUUGAACCGUACAACAUGAUUGCAUUGACUGCCUGGGCCAAGAUGGCCGACAGGGACAUGGAUGGGAUGCCUGGGCCAAGAUGGCCGACAGGGAUAUAGAGAGGGAUAUGGCGCUACAGUCCGCAGCCAGACAUA